rnacentral:rRNA from 1 species
UACGUAGGAGGCAAGCGUUGUCCGGAAUUACUGGGCGUAAAGCGCGUGUAGGUGGUGGGACAAGUCUGCUGUGAAAGCGCCUGGCUUAACCGGGCGAGGUCGGCGGAAACUGUCCGACUCGAGGACGGUAGAGGGGGGUGGAAUUCCCGGUGUAGUGGUGAAAUGCGUAGAGAUCGGGAGGAACACCUGUGGCGAAGGCGGCCCCCUGGGCCGGCCCUGACGACUGAGACGCGAAGGCGUGGGGAGCGAAUGGG